rnacentral:lncRNA from 1 species
GUUCUUUAACCUAGGCAUUAAGAAAUAGAUUUGUGAUUAAAAUAAAAACAUACUUACCCUUCUUGCUUAAUCAUUUUACAGAAGCGUGUGUCAUUUGCUAUCUAUUGUUGCCAUAAAGCUUGACUUAUUAGAAAUAUAUAAAGCAAAUUUAAUUUUAAAAAAACUCCGGACUUGUGCGUAGGAUUCGUGCCAAAAUAUACAGUUAGGAUAUAUGUGCUACCAUGAGUAAAAUCAAAUCUAGACAGACCAAAAUUGGAUUUCUUUUAAGAAAAAAAUACUUUUCUUCAUUCAUUCGUUCAUAUCAGUAUUAGUAGAACUAAAUUGAAUUAUUUGAAGAUUGUACUUGUUUCAGAGCAUAUUUUUAUGAAUUUGUAUUUUUAAAGAAAAAAUUACACGUCUUUGUAGGGAAAUUUUCCAGGUUAUGUGGAAAUGGAGAAAACCAAAUCAGCCAAGUCUUGCAACCGUAAAUGAGGUGGCAAAUUAUUCCUCUAAUCGGUCCAAAGACAUUCCAAGUCUUGCUUUCAUUUUCUCAACAUAUGUGUGGUGAAAAGUAGUGCAAUAUCUACUAAGUUUUGUGAUCCACCAUUUUGCAACAUUAAUUUAAUUAGAAAUGAAAUAAUAAUGUUUGUCGCCACUAGCAUUUCAAAAGCUAAAAUAGAAUCAUGUACAACCCAAGUGCUAAAAUAAAAUGACAAUCUUUACAUGAAGCUAAAGAUUUAAAAUACAUUUGCAACAACAGAAUUAUUUGGAACAAACGUUUCAAUGAACUUGCUCAACAUGCAGAAAUGUUGAAUGUAAAUAUAUAAUAUCUUAUCAUACCCGAGUUUUUCACACUUUUUAGCGUUUAAAUAUUUGGUAGAUUUAAUCUUGACUUUUUUACUUUUACUUUCGUUUUUAAUAGGUUUUACUUGUAAAUUGAAAACCACAAAAAAAAAAAAGAAUUAUUAUUAUUAGGAGAUCAAUUUUGUUUUCAUUUUGCAAAAGAAAGAAAAUUUACAAAGAAUAUAUUUUUCAUCUAAUCUAGUUUAAUUUUCAAGUUAGAGGCUUUAAUAAAUACAUAGAGUAAUUAGUUUUGUCUAGCUAUUUUUUAUUUAGGAGUAAUAUUUAUAUUAUUUAUUUAUUAUGCUCGGGAACAUGAAUAGUUUGAUGAUGAUGCAAUUCAUGAGCUUUGAGCGUAUUGAACCUCAUUUCAAGCACCUUUCGGCUGGUCAAAUUCAUGGCAGAAAAUAGAAGGACAAAUCUUCAAUAUCAUAUGGGAGGACAAAUCCAUGACGGUAUAUAGAAGGAGAAAUUCAUGACAGCAUAUAUGGAAGGACAAAUCCAUGACAUAUAGAAAUAUCAAAUCCAUGACAGCAUAUAGAUAUAUCAAAUCCAUGACAACAUAUAAAAGUAUCAAAUUCAUAACAACAUAUAGAAGUAUCAAUCCAUGAUAACAUAUAGAAGGAUCAAAUUAAUGACAACAUAUAGAAGUAUCAAUCCAUGAAGAGGUCAACUUAAGGUGUAAAGGGACUUAAACUUCCACCCUAAGAUUGGAAAAUUAUAGUUCCUUUUAAAGACAAACCCGCGAAAAGGACAACUUAAGGUGCAAAGGGACUUCAACGUCCACCUUAAGAUUGAAAAAUUAUAGUUCCUUUUAAAGACAAACUAGUGAAGAGACCAACUUAAGGUCCAAAGGGACUAACAUGUCCACCUUAAGAUUGGAAAAUUAGAAAACAUAAACUUGAAGACUCAUCGGACUUUGCAAAUUUCAACUUGAAAACCAACGAGUUUGAAAAUUUGACGGACUUAAAAAUUUGGCGGACUUUGAUGCUUCAACUUGAAGAGCGAUAGACUUUUAAAACACAACUUGAAAAAUUAGCAGACUUGAAGACUUCAGCUUUAAGACUUUUAGGGCUUAAAUAAUUCAACUUGAAGACUGGCGAAUUUGAGGACUUCAAAUUGAAGACCGACGGACAUGAAGACUUGGAGAGAUUGAAUACUUCAACUUAAUGUUUGGCGUACUUGCAGACUUCAACUUGAAGGGUGGUGGACUUGCAAAAUUUAACUUGAAGAGUGACAUACAUGAAGAUUUGGCGGGCUUAUAUAAUUAAACUUGAAGACUGGCGAACUUGAGGACUUCAAAUUGAAGAUUUGGCAUUCUACUAAAAGUCUACAUCCAUCCAUCGGAGAUGCCAAAUUGCUAUGGAGGCUUGCCCCUAUUGAACCACCAAUCCUUGAUAAGGCACAAACUUCAUGUAAGCCUGAUUUUUAAGUUCUAAUCAAGUGGAUUAUAUUCCAUUAUCCUUCCUUCGAAUAAUGAUUGGGGUAUUAUGUAUCUUUUGAACUUAUGCGUCAUGGAGCAUUAUAACUUGCAGCUUAGACUCGUGCAUUGAGGAGCAUUGCAACAUGCAGUUUAGGCUCGUGCAUUAAGGAGCAUUAUAACUUGCAGUUUAGGCUCAUGCGUUAAGGAGCGUUAUGACUUGCAGUUUAGGCUCAUGCGUCAUGGAGCACUAUAACUUGCAUAGACUCUUCAGUUUCAUCUUCGGAUGAAUACUUGCCCCCAUUCUCAGCAUCGUCUGUUUCUAUUUCAUCAAGAGGCUCAAAGCCAGGAAACCUUUGAUCUCCACUAGUAGCCAUACUCAAUUCCAUAUCAUGUGCAUGAGUUGCUAGUUUUUCAAAUAUUUUGGGCUUUAUGCCUUGUAAGAUAUAGCGUAGACUCCAAUGCAUGCCUUGAAUGUACAUUUCGAUGCUAGAAAAUUUUGCUAAGGUGAUCUUUGCAGUUGAGACUUAAACACCUCCAGCGGUUGAUGAAGUCAUUAACUAGCUAAUCUUUUCCUUGAUGAGUGUUUGUAAGUUAGAUCAUUCUUACGAUGCGUCUUGUGCUAUAUAAACGAUUGAGAAACUCUUGCUCUAACUGUUCCCAACUAUCAAUAGAACCAGGUUCGAGAUCUCUGUACCAACUGAAUGCAAUACCUUUGAGAGAACGAACAAACUGUUUGAUAAAAUGAUCACCAUAAGUCCCAGAAUUGUUGCAUGUCUCGACGAAAUGUGCGACAUGUUGCUUGGAAUUUCCUUUUCCAUCAAAUUGUUGAAGCUUUGGAGGUUGAUAUCCAGUAGGCAUAUUCAAGUUAUCAAUCUGUUGUGUGUAUGAAUUUGCAUAUGCGAGGUAAGAUUUAAUUGGAGGAUCAAUUUUAUCUUCAAUUGUCCCCAUGAUGAAGUCCUUCAAUUGAUCAACAUGAAGUAGGCCUUCUGAAGAAACUUGGAUCUCUUUAACCACGAUCAUUUGCCUCGCAGAGGAUUCUCCCUCUUCUUUAUCUUCGGAAAGCUUCACACGUGCUUUUGCUAAUCUCUCGAACUCAUUUGCUAACUUUUCGAGGCGAAUAUCUCGAUCCUCUAUAUACUUGGUCAACUUCUCAAGUGCUUUGGUCAAAUACGCAAGUUGUUCUUCCAUUGUUGAAUUGUUAGAUCUUGUCCUUGAACUUGGAAAAGAAGAGAUGAGAGGUAGAGACCAUCCCACUGGGUGUGUCUGAAUUUGUAGACAAUAAAUUUGCGUCAAGAAAAUAAUCGAGACCAAAAAAUAUUGCAACAAUCGUAGUAUUUGAUUUCAAAUAAUAUGAGUGUAUAAUCUCUAUGAUUCCUCUGAUUCUUCUUUACAAUAGUAAAUAAAUCCAAGGGCCUUUUGAGCUUGAUCUUGAAUAUAUAGUAGUUGCCACGAACGAUGAUCUUGAAUUUAACUAGUAUGAACUUUGAUUUGAACUCGUACUCCUUGAAUCUUGAUUUGUUCUUCGUUCUUGAACUUGAACUUGAUUUAUUGAACUUUAACUUUAUUGCUUGAAGCUUGAAACUUAUAGAGAAAUUUACGGUGUUUGAUCCACGAGUUCUCUCUUGCUUCUUGUUAUAACUUCUGGUAUUUUUUCUGAGUUAUGAAGACUACUAUUUAUAGUUGUAGGAGGGAAGAGUUAUGAUAAGAACCAACUCUUUUCGACCAAUCAAAUUUAAGUACGACAAGGCUGCAUUUGAUUGGCCACGACAUGUCACUUGCACAUGUGGCACGAUUUCAUUGGCCUUUGAAUGUGACUUGGCUUGCCUUGUCUUUUUGACAUGUGGCACGAUCCUACUGGAUCUUCCGCUUGACUUGGCGUGCCACGUCAUUUGACAUGUGGUACCAAACUGGGCCUCUAGGAAGAUGACAUAUUGGGCCUAAUGAAGUGGGUUCAUCACUUGUAGCCCAACUAAAUGGGCUAGCCCAAUGGAUUAAGACUUAUUUAUUUAAUCUAUAUAUAUUGGACUUAUAUAAUUAAUUCACUUAUAUUAACCCAUAAUAUUUAUUUGGACUAAUAUAGUCCAAAUUAUUUUAUUGAAUUUAAAUUCAAUAAAUUUUGCAUGCCUACAAAUACCCUUACUUCAUAACUUGUCGGGUACAUAAUUUGAAAAUUAGGCUUGAAGUACCACAAGGUCCCGCUUGAACUCCAUUAGCGAAAUUGUUUGAGGUUUUAAUUUUAACAUUCUCUCUUUUAAGGGUGCUUUGGUAGUGAUAGAAUUUGAUUUUAAAACUAGACUUAAUUAGCAAAUAUGUGGAAUAAAUUUCUAUGAUUUAGCAACCUUUAUGCACGUUUCAUGAACUUGCAAAGUGAUUAUGACAUUAAGCCUUGGUCAUAUGACUCCUUAGAUACAUCCUCAAAAAAAGUUCCAUGUGGAUCAAACAAAUAGAUUAUUGCAUUAGGACUUUGAGAAGCAAAGGCACCCAAAGAUAUCUUCCUACAAUAUCAUCGUCCAAGUCGAAUUCUGCUAAAAAUAGGAGAGCUCUAACCGCCUUAAUGCUAGCCCAAUAAUGACAAAUGUACUUUAACUCUAUUUACGAGAUAACUGUACAAUCCCACAUCAAGAAUUUACUCUUCAUAGCCUAUUUUGACAAUCUAUAAAUAGCUGAAGGUUCUUCCUUUGUUAAACAUCGAUUUAUGGAGUUUGCGAGUUGUUCGAAUCUGCCUUUGAUGCUUGGAAGAGUUGAAGGUAAUUUCUUCUUCUUUUCUUUUCAAUUUUCGUCACCCUUUUAUCGACAUCACAUCUUGUGGUAUAAAUUGAUAUCUUACUGUAAAAAAAUCCAAAUCACAGUCUGCUUUCGAAGUUAGCCUUAAUUUUUAUCAUGCUGAUAUUUUCAGAUUUGUGCGACUUCACCAAAGGUUUUAUAUAUUGAUGUAGGAACCUUGGAAUCACAAAUCGUUUGAUUUAUCAGAACCGAGAGUUCAAGAUCUACAAUAUAUCCUAAAUUCAUAAUUAAACACUUUCAGGAUCAUUCUAGAUGAUAUUUUGAAGCCGACUCUACAUUCUAACGCGCCAACAGUUUCAGAUUAUCGCGGCUUUGCCAAACGUUUUAUAUCUUGAUGUAGGAACCUCAGAAUUGCAAACCAUUUAAUUUAUCAGAAACUAGAGUUCAAGAUCUACAACAUGUCCGAAAUUUAGUAAUAAACACUAUCAAGAUCAUUCUAGAUGUAUUUUUGAAUUCGGCUCUACAUUCUAACGCGCCAAUAGUCUCAGAUUAUCGCGGCUUUACCAAAACCUUUAUAUCUCGAUGUUAGAAUGUCUGAAUUGAAAACCGUUUUAAUUGAUAGAAACUAGACUUAGAGUGCUUCGUUGUCACCAAAUAUCAUGGCCCGCAUCAUGCCAGAUUAUUAUAAACAAUACUUUGAACUUAAUUUUCGAAUCUAACAUGCCUUAACAGGUAACUACCUUUCUUGUACUUGUAUUUUUUUGUUGCCUUCUUUUUUAUUGUUGUAGGCAAUGGAGAUAUCUUCGUCAACAAGGUUAGAUGCACAUAGAAGGAAAAAUUCAUGGCAGAAAAUAGAAGGACAAAUCUUCAAUAUCAUAUGGGAGGACAAAUCUGUAACGGUAUACAGAAGUAGAAAUCCAUGACAACAUAUAUGGAAGGACAAAUCCAUGACAACGUAUAGAAAUAUCAAAUCCAUGACAACAUAUAGAAGUAUUAAAUUCAUGACAACAUAUAGAAAUAUCAAUCCAUGACAACAUAUAGAAGUAUCAAUCCAUGAAGAGGCCAACUUAAGGUGCAAAGGAACUUAAACGUCCACCCUAAGAUUGAAAAAUUAUAGUUCCUUUUAAGGACAAACCCGCGAAGAGGUCAACUUAAGGUGCAAAGGGACUUCAACGUCCACCUUACGAUUGAAAAAUUAUAGUUCCUUUUAAAGACAAAACCGUGAAGAGACCAAAUUAAGGUCCACCAAAUUAGAAAAUAUCAACACGAAGACUCGUCGCACUUUGUAGAUUUCAACUUGAAGACCAACAAGUUUGAAGAUUUGACGGACUUGAAAAUUUGGUGGACUUUGAUGCUGUCACGACCCAAAAUCACACAUGUCGUGAUGGCGCCUAUCUUAAUACUAGGCAAGCCGAUAACAUCAAUAAACCACAAAUUCUUUUAAUUUUGAAAACAUAAUAUUCAAUGUAAAAAUCUCACAAAUACUAAUAUAAAACACUCCCAAAACUCGGUGUCACUGAGUACACGAGCAUCUAAAGGAAAACAUAGUUUGAGGGAUACAAUCACUGUCUAGAAAUGUAGGACAAUACAAAUAACUAAAAGGAAAGAGAGUCAAGGUAUGCGGACGUCAAGCAGCUACCUUGAUAGUCUCCAAUAGAUAAAACCUCUGAAAUCUAGCAACCGUCGUAUCCGAAAGUACCUGGAUCCACACACGAAGUACAGAGUGUAGUAUGAGUACAACCAACUCAAUAAGUUACAAGACUAACCUUUGAGCUGAAAGUAGUGACGAGCUCAAUAGGUACAGACCAAUAUAGAAAUAACAAUACAGAAAUGUAGGCAUGCUUUCAAGUUCCACAGUUAAACUCAAUACAAGUAAAAUAGAUCAAUUCUGAAUUAUAUGAGGAAUAUGACAUCUCUAUAUCUACAUGCCAAUGUACGUGCUGUAUGUGAUGCACCUUAGUGGAAAACCUCGUGUACUCACGAUCACAAACUACUCAGUCACUCAGUACUGUAUAUGGUCAAUCAGCCCAUGGAUGAUUUAUCCCCAAAUAUGAAUGAUUCGGAAAAGAUCCACGUCCAGGGAAUUCAUCACAAUUAUAAAACAAAUAAGGCAACUCCAUGCCCUGGAAGUCCAUACCGAAUAUAAAAUCAUCUACGCUCACUGUGGGGGGUGCAGACUCCGUAGGGGCUCCUUCAGCCCAAGCGCUAUAUAAAGCCGAUAUGGCCUACUGCGGCGUGCAGUCCGAUCCCAUAAUAAUAAAGCCUAUAAGGCCUGUUGCGGCGUGCAGCCCUGAUCCAUAUAAUAAUAAUAUAUAUACAACCAAUAUGGCCUGCUGCGGCGUGCAGCUCGAUCCCAUAAAUAACCUCACAAUGGAUGGACGUGACUGAGUAUGAAAUGUACAUUUUAAUACAACUAAUUCAACAACAACACGACCUUAUGGGUCCCAAAAUAUCGGCACGUAGCCUAAACAUGAUCUUUAAUACGAGCUUUAGAUCAAUUUCUCUAACACGUGGAGGAUAUGCGGAUAACUACAUGAUUCUCAAAUUUUUACAAGUCCACAGAAUUUAUUUAAGUCACAAUAUUUAUGGUGCACGCCCACACGCCCGCCACCUAACAUGUGCGUUACCUUCAUAUAAUUCAAAUAACACAUAAUUCAGGAAUUUAUACCCACAGAACCAAGUUUAGAAGUAUUACUUACCUCAAACCGUGCAAAUUCUUUAUUCCAAUAUGCCUUUGCCUCGCAAAUUGGCCUCUGAACGCCUCCAAUCUAGUCACAAUUAAUUCAAUUUAGUCAAUACAAAUUAUAGGAAUUAGUUCCAUAUGAAAAUAGUAAUUUUUCAACAAAAUCCGAAAUUCCACUCAAAUAUUACAGUAGGGCCCAAGCCUCAGAACCCGACAAAAGUUAUAAAAUAUGAAAGCCCAUUGAACCACGAGUCUAACCAUACCAGAUUUACCAAAUUCUGAUAUCAACUCGACCAUCAAAUCUUCAAUUUAAACUUAAGGGUUUUGAAAUUUUUUCCAACUUAAAACACCAAUUAAAUGCUAAGAAUAGUAAUAGAUUGGGGAAAUUUGACCAAAAUUGAGUUAAGAACACUUACCCUGAUAUAUUUCUUAAACAUCUCCCGAAAAUCGCUUCUCUCCGAGCUCUAAAUCGUUAACUUAAACUCUCUGCCCAGUCAUUUGCUCUACGCGAUCGCGGAUAAUGCCACACGAUCGCGAAGAACAAAAUUCCUCAAUGCCCAUAAUAAGCUUACGCGAUCGCGAAUAAUGCCACGCGAUCGUGAAGCACAACUUCGCGUGGCCUCUGUUACCUAAUUUCUUCUACGCGAACGCGACAUGCCUCACAUAUUCGUAAUGCACUGGUGUCCAAAGCUAGGCAAUCACAACCCCAUUCUCGCGAUCGCGUAGAAUGAAAUUCUCCUCUGCCCAGCUAAGCCUACGCGAUCGCGGACCUUUUCACGCGAUCGCAUAGAAGGAAACCAGACAGUGCAUCAGAAAAAUUCCAGCAAAGUUCAAAGUCCAAAAUUCAAUCUGUUAACCAUCCGGAACUCACCUGAGACCCCUGGGACCUCAAGCAAACAUACGAACAAGUCCAAAACCAUCAUAUGAACUUAGUCGAAGCCACAAAUCAUAUCAAACAACGCUAAAACACGAAUCAUACCCCAAUUCAAGCUUAAUGAAACUAAGAAAUUUCGACUUCUACAUUCGAUGCCGAAACCUAUCAAAUUAAGUUUGAUUAACCUCAAAUUUUGCACACAAGUCAUAAAUGACAUAACAGACCUAUGAAAAUUUUUAGAACUGGAUUCCGACCCCGAUAUUAAAAAGUCAACUCCCCGGUCAAACUUCUAAACUUAAAUUUUUUAUUUUUGCCAUUUCAAGCCUAAUUUAACUACGGACUUCCAAAAACUUUUUCGGACACAUUCCUAAGUCCAAAAUCACCAUACGGAGCUAUUGGAAUCAUCAAAACUCUAUUCCGGGAACUAAGUGUUCAUUCAACCUUUUCAACUUAUGUUUUAAAUCUAGGAACUAAGUGUUUCAAUUUAUUCCAAAACCUCAUCGACCCGAACCAAUUACCCCAGCAAGUCAUAUAAUAAUUGUAAAGCACAAAUUGAGCAGUAAUUGGGUGAAUGAGGCUGUAAUACUCAAAAUGACCGGCUGACUCGUUACAUUCUCCCCCUCUUAAAUAAAUGUUCGUCCUCGAACGGGUUUAGAAUCAUACCUAGAGCCUCAAAUAGGUGUGGAUAUUUUCUCCACAUCUCCCGCUCAAUCUCCUAGGUAGCUUCACCGACUGGCUGACCUCUCCACUGUACUUUCACUGAAGCUAUGUUCUUUGAUCUCAAUUUUCGAACAUGCCUGUCCAAAAUGGCCACCGGCUCCACAUCAUAAGUCAAGUUACCAUCCAACUACAUUGUACUGAAAUCCAGAACAUUAGACGGAUCUCUAACAUACUUCCAGAGCAUAGAUACAUGAAACACUGGAUGAACACCCGAUAGACUAGGUGGCAAAGCAAGUUUAUAAGCCAUCUCUCCAAUCUUCUUAGUUAUUUCAAAAGGCCCAAUAUACCUAGGACUCAACUUUCCCUUCUUCCCGAAUCUCAUAACACCCUUCAUAGGCGAAACUCGGAGUAGUACCUUCUCUUCUACCAUGUAAGCAACAUCGCGAACCUUCCAGUCGGCAUAACUCUUCUAUCUAGACUGCGCCGUAUGAAGUCUUUCCUGAAUCAAUUUAACCUUUUCCAAAUCAUCGUGAACUAAAUUCGUACCCAAUAGCCUAGCCUCACCCGGAUCAAACCAACCCACCAGAGACCGACACCGUCUCCCAUAUAAAGCCUCAUACGGAGCCAUCUGAAUGCUCGAUUGGUAGUUGUUAUUGUAAGCAAACUCUGCAAGUGGCAUAAACUGAUCCCAAGAACCCCUAAAAUCUAUAACACAAGCACAUAGCAUGUCUUCCAAUACCUGAAUAGUGAGUUCGGAUUGUCCGUCUGAGGGUGAAAUGAUGUACUCAAAUGAACCUGUGUGCCCCAAUUCUCGUUGUACUACUUUCCAAAAUUGUGAUGUAAACUGCGUGUCCCGAUCUGAAAUGAUGGACACUGGAAUAACGUGUAGGCGAACAAUAUCGCGGAUAUAAAUCUCAGCCAACCGCUCAGAAGAAUAAGUAGUACCCACUAGAAUAAAAUGUGCAGACUUGGUCAAUCGAUCCACAAUCACCCAAAUAGCAUCAAACUUCCUCAAAGUCCGUGGGAGUCCAACUACGAAGUCCAUGGUAAUACGCUCCCAUUUCUAUUCCGAAAUUUCAAGUUUCUGAAGCAAUUUGACGGUCUGAUGCUCGUACUUCACCUGUUGACAAUUUAAACACUGAGCUACAAACCCAUCUGUUUUUCUUCAUUUUUCUCCACCAAUAGUGUUUCCUCAAGUCCUGGUAUAUCUUAGCGGCACCCGGAUGAAUGGAAUACGACGAACUGUGGGCUUCUUCAAGAAUCAACUCAUACAGUCCAUCUACAUUUGGCACACAAAUCCGACCCUGCAUUCUCAACACCCCAUCACCUCCAAUAGUAACAUCUUUGGCAUCACCGUGAUGAACUGUGUCCUUUAGAACAAGCAAAUGGGGAUCAUCAUACUGGCUCUCUCUUAUGCGGUCAUAUAAGAAAGACUGAGAAACCACAUAAGCUAGAACCCAACUGGGCUCCGAAACAUCUAAUCUCACGUACUGAUUGGCCAAGGUCUAAACAUCAACUGCAAGAGGCCUUUCACCAACAGGAAUGAAUGCAAGGCUACCCAUACUCACCGCCUUUCUACUCAAAGCAUCGGCCACCACAUUGGCCUUCCCGGGAUGAUACAUAAUAGUAAUAUCAUAGUCCUUUAGCAGCUCCAACCAUCUUCACUGCCUCAAAUUUAGAUCCUUCUAUUUGAAUAAGUGUUGAAGACUCCGAUGAUCUAUAAAUACCUCACAAGACACACCGUAAAGAUAGUGCCUCCAAUUCUUCAAUGCAUGAACAAUGGCUGCUAGUUCGAAAUCAUGAACAUGGUAGUUCUUUUCAUAUGGCUUCAACUGGCGCGAAGCGUAAGCACUCUACCCUCAUGCAUUAAGAGCCUGAAGCUAAAGGCAAAACUAGAGCUGGAGUUGUGGUCAAGGCAGUCUUAAGCUUCUGAAAACUCUCUUCACACCCAUUCAACCAUCUGAAUGGAGAACCUUUAUGGGUCAAUUUAGUCAAGGGCGAUGCGAUAGACGAGAAGCCCUCCACAAAGCGACGGUAAUACCCGGCCAAACUAAGAAAACUCCGAAUCUCCGUAGCUGAAGAUGGCCUGGGCCAACUCUGAAUAGCCUCUAUCUUCUUCGGAUCCACCUUGAUUCCCUCACUGGACACUGUGUGUCCCAAGAAUGCCACUGAACUAAUCCAGAACUCACACUUAGAGAAUUUGGCAUAAAGUAUCUCCUCUCUCAGCCUCUGUAAUACAAUACCCAAGUGUUUUUGCAUGCUCCUCCUAGCUACGUGAGUACACCAGGAUAUCAUCAAUAAAUACUACGAUUAAUGAAUCAAGAUAUGGCUGGAAUAUAAUGUUCAUCAAAUACAUGAAUGUUGUUGGGGCAUUGGUCAGCCCAAAAGACAUCACGAGAAAUUCAUAGUGACCAUAACGGGUCCUGAAUGUCGUCUUUAGAAUAUCCGAAUCCCAAAUUUUCAACUGGUGAUACACAGACCUCAAAUCAAUUUUGGAGAACACCCUCGCUCCCUGAAGCUGGUCAAAUAAAUCAUCAAUACAUGGCAAAGGAUACUUGUUCUUGAUUGUAAUUUUAUUCAACUGCUUGUAGUCAAUACAUAUCCGCAUAGUACCGUCUUUCUUUUUCACAAAUAGAACUGGUGCACCUCAAGGCGACACACUAGGCCUAAUAAACCCCUUAUCAAGGAGUUCCUGAAGUUGCUUUUUUAAUUCAGCUGGUGCCAUACGAUACAGAGGAAUAGAAAUGGGAUGAGUACCAAGCACCAAGUCAAUACCAAAAUCAAUAUCCCUAUCGGGUGGCAUACCCGGAAGGUCUGCAGGAAAUACAUCCAGAAAGUCUCGCACUAAUGGUACAGAAUCAAUAGUAUGAGUGUCUGCAUCAACAUCUCUCACAAAGACCAAAUAUGACAAAUACCCCUUCCUAACCAUUCGUUGAGCCUUCAAGUAAGAAAUUACCCUGUUGGGAACAUAAUCUAGGGAACCUCUCCACUCGACCUUCGGCAAUCCCAGUAUUGCCAACGUUACUGUUUUUGCGUGACAGUCCAGAAUAGUAUGAUAUAGAGACAACCAAUCCAUACCCAAGAUUACAUCGAAAUCAACCAUACUAAGAAAUAAGAGAUCAACUCUAGUCUCCAGUCCCCCAAUAGUUACCACACACGACCGAUACACACUGUCCAGAAUGGUAGUAUCGCCCACCGGUGUAGAUACAUGAACAGGUGAAACCAAGGACUCACGUGGCACAUCCAGAUAACGAACAAAAUAUGACGAAACAUACGAAUAUGUAGAUCCAGGGUCAAAUAAUAUAGAUGCUUCUAUGUGGCACACUGAGACAAUACCUUUGAUCACUGCAUCUGAAGCAACGACAUCUGGCCUGGCAUGAAUAACAUAGAAUCGGGACUCACCGCCACCUGAUCGACCUCCCUCUCUUAGGCGACCCCUAGCUGACUGAGCGCCAUCUCGAGCUGGCUGGGCGGGUGGUGAAGCAACUGGUGUAAGAGUUGUAGCCUGACUCAUCUGCUGAACUAGACCUCGCGAAAGGCGGGGAUAAUAUUUCCUUACAUAACCCAUCUCUCCACACUCAUAGAAAUCCCUCUCGAAAAAUAGUGGCGAGUUCUGAGGCGGACAUCAAGAACAAGAAUGACUACCAGAAAAAACCGGUACAGAUGAACUCUGGACUGAUGGUGCACGAGAUGAACUCUGAGCUGGAAGUGCACUUAGAGAAGACUGACUCGGUCAAGCACUGUAUGAACCAUGGCUAGCUGAUGCGCCAUGAUGAGUUGGAUGAGCCAUCUGAGCAGGCCUAUAAGGACGACCCCUGUUGUGAUAGGGUUGUUCCCCAGAAGGAACACCGCUGGAAUUACCCAGUCCACGAGACCUCUUGGCCUCCCUCUCAUCGCCCUCCUGAAUACGGACUAUCUCUAGCAGUAGAUCACUAUCAACCACCUCAUCGAAUUUAGCACCUGCUACAUUUCCCAGAGUCAUAACAAAACAGAACUGCUAGUUGAGUCCAUUAAUGAACCUCUUAAUCUUCUCCCUCUCAGUGGGAACCAACCAAACUGUAUGACGAACCAAUUCUGAAAACCGCAUCUCAUACUAGGUCACGGACAAGUCCUCCUGACGUAAGUACUCGAACUGUUUGUGCAGUUCCUCUCUGCGGGUCUGUGGCACAAACUUCUCCAAAAAUAAUACGGAGAACGCAAGCCAUGAAAAUGGUGUUGCACCAACUCGUCUUCUCCUCUAAUAAGUCUCCCACCAUCUGAAGGCUGCUCCGGUCAGUUAAAAAGUAGUAAAUGAGACCUCACUGGGGUUUAGAAUACCCGCUGUACGAAGCAUCUGUUAGCAUCUGUCCAAGAAAUCCUGAGCAUUCUCUAACUCAACUCCACUGAAAGUUGGAGGAUGGAGUCUCCCAAACCUCUCUAAUCUCUUAUGCUCCUCGUCAUUCAUAAUAGAACCCACCUGGGCCUGAGCAGCUGCAACCGGCUGGAGUGGUAGUGCCCUCGGUAUCUGAAGUCCUUGCACUACCUACUCUAGAGUAAGGGCGACAAGGGUAUGAGUACCUCCCCCGGCCUGAGAAGUGGCUGGUGCGGCCUGAGUCGAAACCACCUGAGCAAGGCCAGUGCAAACAGUCAAUAUCUGUGUUAAAGCCUCCUAAAGGCUUGGAUUCACAAUAGGCACAGUUGGUGCCCGAGCUGGCCCCGCCGGCUCGGCUAUAUCUGGAACCUUCUCAUGAGCUAGAGCAACUGGUGGUUCUACAGGUGCUGCUCCAACUGCUGUACGAGCUACACCUCGACCUCUACCACGGCCCCGGCCUCUCGCGACCCUAACUGGUGGCUGACCGUCUGAUCCGGUAGUACAUGUUCUCACCAUCUGUGAGAGAAUAAAAUAACAAAAAUUUAGUUUCCGGAACCAACAAAUUCGCACGGCAGAAUACAAGAAAGUGAAAUUUUCCUAAGGGUUCGGUAGCCUCUCGAAGAUAAGUAUAGAUGUCUCUGUAUCGAUCUGCAAGACUCUACUAAACCUGCUUAUGACUCGUGAGACCUAUGUAAUCUAGGCUCUGAUACCAACUUGUUACGACCCAAAAUCACACCUAUCGUGAUGACGCCUAUCUUAAUACUAGGUAAGCCGACAACUUCAAUAAACCACAAAUUCUUUUAAGUUUGAACAUAUAAUAUUUAAAUUCAAUAUAAAAAUCUCACAAAUACUGAUAUAAAACACUACUAAAACCUGGUGUCACUGAGUACAUGAGCAUCUAAAUGAAAACAUAGUCUGAGGGAUAAAAUCACUAUCUGGAAAUGUAGGACAUUACAAACAACUGAAAGGAAGGAGAGUCAAGGUCUGUGGACGUCAAGCAGCUACCUCGAUAGUCUCCAACAGAUAAAACUUCUGAAAUCUAGCAACUGCCGUAUCCGAAAGUACCUGGAUCUACAUACGAAGUGUAGAGUGUAGUAUGAGUAUAACCAACUCAAUAAGUAACAAGCCUAACCUUUGGGCUAAAAGUAGUGACGAGCUUAACAUGUACAGUCCAGUAUAGAAAUAACAACACAGAAAUGUAGGCAUACUUUCAAGUUUCACAGUUAAACUCAGUAAAAGUAAAUUAGAUCAAUUUUGAAUGAUAUGAGAAAUAUAACAUCUCUAUAUCUACAUGCCAAUGUACAUGUUGUGUGUGAUGCACCUCAGUGAAAAAUCGCAUGUACUCACGAUCAAAAACUACUCAGUCACUUAGUAUUGUAUAUGGCCAAUCAGCCCAAGGAAGCUUUAUCUCCAAACAUGAAUGAUUCGGACAAGAUCCAUAUCCAGGGAAUUCAUCACAAUUAUAAAUAAAUAAGACAACUCCAUGCCCUGGGCAGUUCAUCCCGAAUAUAAAAUCAUCUGCGCUCAUUGUGGGGGGUGUAGACUCCGGAGGUGCUCCUUCAGCUCAAGCGCUAUAUAAAGCCGAUAUGGCCUACUGCGGCGUGCAGUCCGAUCCCAUAACAAUAAAGCCAAUAAGGUAUAUUGCGGCGUGCAGCCCCGAUCCGUAUAAUAAUAAUAAUAAUAAAAAUAUACAUACAGCCAAUAUGGCCUGCUGCGGCGCGCAGCUCAAUCCCAUAAAUAUCCUCACAAUGGAUGAACGUGACUGAGUAUGAAAUGUACAUUUUAAAACAAUUAAUUCAAAAGCAACACGACCCUAUGGGUCCCAAAAUAUUGGCACGUAUCCUAAACAUGAUCUUUAAUAUGAGCCUCAGCUCAAUUUCUCUAACACGUGGAGGAUAUGCGAAAAACGACAUGAUUCUCAAAUAUUUACAACUCCACAGAAUUUCUUUAACUCACAAUUUCUAUGGUGCACGCCCACACGCCCAUCACGUAGCAUGUGUUUCACCUUCAUACAAUUCACAUGACAUGUAAUUCAGGGAUUUAUACCCUUAGAAUCAAGUUUAGAAGUGUUACUUACCUCAAACCGUGCAAAUUCUUUAUCCCAAUAUGCCUUUGCCUCACAAAUCAGCCUUUGAAUGCCCCGAAUCUCGUCACAAUUAAUUUAAUUCAGUCAAUACAAAUUAUAGAAAUUAAUUCCAUAUGAAAUACUAAUUUUCCAACAAAAUCCGAAAUUUCACUCAAAAAUCGUCAGAGGGGUCCACGUCUUGGAACCCGACAAAAGUUACAAAAUAUAAACACCCACUCAAGCACGAGUCCGACCAUACCAAAUUUACCAAAUUCCGACAUAAACUCGAUCCUCAAAUCUGCAAUUUAAACUUAAGGGUUUUCACAAUUUUUCCAACUUAAAACACCAAUUAAAUACUAAUAAUAGCAAUAGAUUCGGGUAAUUUGACCAAAAUUGAGGUAAAAACACUUACCCCAAUAUUUUCGUUGAAAAUUUCCUGAAAAUCGCCUCCCUUCGAGCUCCAAAUCGUUAAAAAUGAAAAAUGCGACGAAGUCUCAUUUUCAGAACUUAAACUCUCUACCCAGUCAUUUGCUCUACGCAAUCGCGGAUAAUGCCACGCAAUCGCAAAGAAAAAAAUCACUCAAUGCCGAUAAUAAGCUUACGCGAUCGCGGAUAAUACCACCCGAUCGCGAAGCACAACCUCGCUUGGCCCCUAUUACCUUAUUUCUUCUACGCGAGCGUGACAUGCCUCACACAUUCGCGAUGCACUGGCGUCCAAAGCUACGCGAUUGCAGCCCCAUUAUCGCAAUCGCGUAGAACGAAAUUCUCCUCUGCCCAGCUAAGCCUACGCGAUCGCGGACCUUCUCAUGCGAUCGCGUAGAAGGAAACCAGACAGUGCAUCAGAAAUUUCCUGCAAAGUUCAAAGUCCAAAAUUCAAUCUGUUAACAAUCUGAAACUCACCCGAGGCCCCGGGGACCUCAACCAAACAUAUCAACAAGUCCUAAAAUAUCAUACGAUCUUAUUCGAAGCCUCAAAUCACAUCAAACAAUGCUAAAACAUGAAUCAUACCCCAAUUCAAGCUUAAUGAAACUAAGAAAUUCCAACUUCUACAUUCGAUGCCGAAACCUAUGAAAUCAAGUCCGAUUGACCUCAAAUUUUGCACAGAAGUCAUAAAUGACAUAACGGACCUAUGAAAAUUUUCAGAACUGGAUUCCGACCCCGAUAUCAAAAAGUCAACUCCCCAGUCAAACUUCCAAACUUAAAUUUCCUAUUUUUGCCAUUUCAAGCCUAAUUUCACUACGAACUUGCAAAUAAUUUUUCGAACACACUCCUAAGUCCUAAAUCAUCAUACGAAGCGAUUGGAAUCAUCAAAACUCUAUUCUGGGGUCGUUUAUAUAUAAGUCAAUAUCUGUUCAACCUUUUCAACUUAAGUUUUAAACCUUGGAACUAAGUGUUCCAAUUCAUUCCAAAACCUCACCGAACCCAAACCAAUUAUCCCGGCAACUCAUAUAACAACUGUAAAAUAUAAAUUGAGAAGUAAAUGGUUGAACGAGACUGUAAUAUUCAAAAUGAUCACCCGGGUCGUUAUAGAUGCUUCAACAUGAAGAGCAGUGGACUUUUAAAAUUCAACUUGAAAAAUUAGCAGACUUGAAAACUUCAGCUUUAAGACUUUUAGGGCUUAAAUAAUUCAACUUAAAGACCGACGAAUUUGAGGACUUCAAAUUGAAGGCCGACGGACAUGAAGACUUGGAGGGAUUGAAUACUUCAACUUAAAGUUUGGCGAACUUGCAGACUUCAACUUGAAGGGCAGUGGACUUGCAAAAUUUAACUUGAAAAGCGACAUACUUGAAGAUUUGGAGGGCUUAUAUAAUUCAACUUGAAGACCGGCGAACUUGAGGACUUCAAAUUGAAGAUUUGGCCUUCUACUAAAAGUCUACAUCUAUCCAUUGGAGAUGCCAAAUUACCAUGGAGGCUUGCCUCUAUUGAACCACCAAUCCUUGAUAAGGCACAAAGUUCAUGCAAUCCCGAUUUUUAAGUUCCAAUCAAGUGGAUUAUAUUCCAUCAUUCUUUCUUCGAAUAAUGAUUGGGGUACUAUGUAUCUUUUGAACUCAUACAUCAUGGAGCAUUAUAACUUGCAGCUUAGGCUUAUGCAUUGAGGAGCGUUACAACAUGCAGUUUAGGCUCGUGCAUUAAGAAGCAUUAUAACUUGAAGUUUAGGCUCGUAUGUUAAGGAGCGUUACGACUUACAGUUUAGGCUCAUGCGUCAUGGAGCACUAUAACUUGCAUAGACUCUUCAGUUUCAUCUUCGGAUGAAUACUUGCCCCAUUCCCAGCAUCGUCUAUUUCUAUUUCAUCAAGAGGCUCAAAUCCAAGAAAGCUUUCAUCUCCACUUGUAGCCAUACUCAAUUCCAUAUCAUGUGCACGAGUUGCUAGUUCUUCAAAUAUUUUGGGCUUUAUGCGUUGUAAGAUAUAGCGUAGACUCCAAUGCAUGCCUUGAAUGCACAUUUUGAUGCCAGAAGUUAUUCUAAGGUGAUCUUUGCAGUUGAGGCUUAAGAACCUCCAACGGUUGAUGAAGUCAAUAACUAGCUCAUUAUUUCCUUGAUGAGUGUUUAUAAGUUCGAUCAUGCUUACGAUGCGUCUUGUGUUAUAGAAAUGAUUGAGAAACCUUUGCUUCAACUGUUCCGAACUAUCGAUAAAACUAGGUUUGAGACCUGUGUACCAAUUGAAUGCAUUACCUUUGAGAGAACGAACAAACUGUUUGUCAAGAUGAUCACCAUAAGUGCCAGAGUUGUUGCAUGUCUUGACGAAAUGCACCACAUGUUGCUUGGGAUUUCCUUUUCCAUCAAAAUUUUGACGCUUACGAGGUUGAUAUCCAGUAGGCAUCUUUAAGUUAUCAAUCUGUUGUGUGUAUGACUUUGCAUAUGCGAGGUAAGGUUUAAUCGGAGGAUCAAUUUUAUCUUCAAUUGUCCCCAUGAUGAAGUCCUUCAAUUGAACAACAUGAAUUAGGCCUUAUGAAGAAACUUGGAUCUCUUUAACCACGAUUAUUUGCCUCGUAGAGGAUUCUCCCUCUUCUUUAUCUUCGGAAAGCUCCACACAUGCUUGAAUUGAUUUUGCUUUUGCUAAUCUCUCGAUCUCACUUGCUAACUUUUCGAGGCGAGUAUCUUGAUCCUUCAUAUACUUGGUCAACUUUUCAAGUGCUUUGGUCAAAUUCGUAAGUUGUUCUUCCAUGGUCGAAUUGUUAGAUCUUGUUCUUGAAUAUGGAAAAGAAGAGAUGAGAGGUAGAGAUCGUCCCACUGGGCGUACCAAAAUUUGUAGACAAUAAAUUUGCAUCAAGAAAAUAAUCAAUACCGAAAAAUAUUACAACAAUCGUAGUAUUUGAUUUCCAAUAAUAUGAAUGUACAAUCUCAAUGAAUCCUCUAAUUCUUCUUUCCAAUAGUAAAUAAAUCCAAGGGCUUUUUGAGUUUGAUCUUGAAUAUGUAGUUGUUGCCACGAACGAUGAUCUUGAAUUCAACUAUCUCAAACUUUGAUUUGAACUCAUACUCCUUGAAUCUUGAUUUGUUCUUCGUUCUUGAGCUUGAACUCGAUUUCUUGAACAUGAACUUGAUUGCUUGAAGCUUGAAACUUAUAGAAAAAUUUAUGGCGUUUGAUCCACGAGCUCUCUCUUGCUUCUUGUUAUAACAUCUGGUAUCUUUUUUGAGUUAUGAAGAGCCCUAUUUAUAGUUGUGGGAGAGAAGAGUUACGAUAAGAACAAACUCUUUCCGACCAAUCAAAUUAAAGUGUGACAAGAUCGCAUUUGAUUGGCCAGAACAUGUCACUUGCACACGUGGCACGAUUUCAUUGGCCUUUUAAUGUGACGUGGCUUGCCUUGUAAUUUUGACAUGUGGCACGAUCCUAUUGGCUCUUCCGCUUGACUUGGCGUGCCAUGUCAUUUGACACGUGGCACUAAACUUGGCCUCUAGGAAGAUGACAUAUUGGGCCUAAUGAAGUGAGUUCAUCACUUGUAGCCCAACUAAAUAAGCGAGCCCAAUGGAUUAAGACUUAUUUAUUUAAUCCAUAUAUAUUGGACUUAAAUAAUUAAUUCACUUAUAUUAGCCCAAAAUAUUUAUUUGGACUAAUAUAGUCCAAAUUAUUUUAUUGAAUUUAAAUUCAAUAAAUUUUGCAUGUGUACCAUCUUUAUGGGCACAAAAAAGAGUUAAAACAAAAAUUGGAUGACAAUUAUACUCUAAAAUUUGCAAUAUAAACUAGUCUAGGCAAAAUGUCAUUCCUCACUUAAAGACUAAGACGUACAUAAUGAGAUAUUUGGUCAUAGGAAAAUUUUUACCAAAGUCCUAAGCAGAGGCGUAGCUACUUGUACCAAUCAGGGGUCACUGGAUCCCAUAAACUUCAGCUGAAAUCUUGUAUAUCUAUAUGUGUAUACCUUAAAAUUAAUUAUAUAAGUAAUUUGGCACUCUGAACACUAAAAACCUUUAAGGGACACACACAAAAAAAGUAAUGGUGCCCCCAUCACGUAAAAUUUCUGGGUCCACCUCUGGUCAUAAGAGCAUAAUCAUAGAGCAGAAUAAAAGUUAAAAAAUCAUAAGUAUUUUAAAUCAUUAGUGAAGCUGAUGUUCGGCAAAAAAUGUAUUUGUUUAACCAUUUUGCCUCACAUUCUAGUACUUUUAAUCGUCUUUUGAGUAUUAAUUAUAUUACUUUAUAUUUAUUAUUAUAUUUUAACUGAGUAGAAAUAAAGCGGUUUGAAGAUGAAGAGAUUUUGAACAAAAUUAAUAAAACACGAAAGAAAAAGAACGAAAAAUAAAACAAUUAAAGGGGAAGGAGACAAAGAGGGGACACCCUUUGGUGUUUGUCCCCCAAGUGUAAGUAACAGAAAAGGAAAAUGCAAUUCAAAGAAUUGAAGGAUGCUUUUGCAUCUAUACCUGGUAUUCGGGUCACAAUUGAACCUAUACCCACUUUGCAAAAAGAUUUACAAGCCUACCCAUUUUACGGUCAACUUUAACUUAUCAGAUCUGAAGUUAAAAAUAAUUAGCCUGAAGUGAAAAAAUUGUACUUCAAAUGUACUUAAGGCCAAAUAGGUCUGAAGUGCAACCAAUUGUUUCAUGCACUUCAGACCAAUAAGUCUAAAGUGGAAAAUUGUUCUUCAUAUGUACUUAAGGCGAAAAGAAAGAAAAAAUGUGACUUUUAUUAAGAUUUAACAUAAUAUUGUAACACUUUUUUCCAUAUCAAUUAUCAACGCAAUUACUUUAACAAGCUCCGAAGACUAAAGAUGGUGAUCAAAAUUUUUCCUCUAAUUAGGGAGAGGCAAAAGACGAGCUAUGCGCUUUUGCGCAAACGGUAUAUUUUGUGUUAAAAGAUUUAUUAAAUAUGUACAAAUAUUAUAUAUAGAACUUAUUAACACUUGAAGCCAUCGGUCUAAAAUCUAAAACCCAUAAGGCUAAAAUCCUAGGUCAAUCUCUGCCUCUGGUGACCCGAAAGACGACCAAAUCAACCAAGUCUCGGAACGUUUCAAUCAUAAAUAUAAAUAUGGUGGCAAAUUCCUGCAACUCGCCCAAAGACUUGUGCAAUUUUGCGCAGUUUUGCGCAGUUUCAUUCAAGAAUAUAGGUAAUAACCACAACUCUUGUAAAGGUCAAUUUUGUGCAGUUUCAUUCAAGAAAAAUAAAAUAUAUAUAUAUAUAUAUAUAUAUAUAUCAGAAAGAUUGGGAGAAAAAGUUCAAGUGGCAGAUGAAGAAAAUAAUUUAAGUGCUAGUGAUUGACUCGGAAAGGAGUCAUCCACUAAUUUUUAUAACCAAAUGUGAGGGUGCUCAUUCGGAAGGAGAGACCAAUGCACCUCAAUGACACGACAAUAGCGUAGUCAGAAAUUUCGUCAAGGGUGUUUAAACUUUUAAAAAAUCAAUAAUUGUUUUUUGAUGAAUGGGUACACCGAAAAUUUUAAAUCAAACUAAGCAUUAUUUAGCUAAAUACUAUAAUUUUAUAAAUUAAAACUAAUGGAGUAUAAAAGAGAUUUAAAAAAAAUCAACUAAUAAAAGUAAGCAUAAAACCUCGAAAAGAUAGAGUCAUGAGAGUUUCUAGUCUCCAUUUAUGGGCGGAUAAAAAUAUUUAGACAAGGAUUCAAACCCAUUAACACCAUCAAACUUUGAAUACCCUUGGCCGUUGUUCUACUUCUUUGAGUUGUGCAGGGGCGGGCGUAGCAUGUUCAUUAUGGAUUCGGCUGAAUCCAAUAACUUGUAUUUGUAAAGAAAUUCAUUAAAAAUGUACAAAUUAUUAUUAAUUUAGAACCCAACAACUUAAAAAUAUUAAAAUCACUAACCCAUAUAGUUUAAAUCCUGGCCCCGCCUCUAUUAGCUAGUAUGUAGUACACUAUAAUUUAAUAGAUGUAGCAUUACUUUUCACCUCACAGUUCUAUUUAAUAGAUGAAAGCCGGACUUGGUUGACUUACACAAGUCUUUGGGCGGGUUGCAGGAAUUUGCCACCAUAUUUAUAUUUAUGAUUGAAACCUGCCAAGACUUGGUUGAUUUGGUCGUAUUUGGUGUCACCGGAGGCAGAGAUAGACCAAGAAUUUUAGCCUUAUGAGUUUUGGAUUCUAUAUCGAUGACUUCAAGCGUUAAUGAUUUAUAUAUAUAAUAUUUGUAUAUAUUUAAUAAAUUUUUUAACAAAAAAUAUAUCGUUUGCGCAAAAGCGCAUAGCUCGUCUUUUGCCUUUCCCUAAUUAGAGGAAGAAUUUUGAUCACCAUCUUUAGUCUUCGGAGCUUGUUAAAGUAAUUGUGUUGAUAAUUGAUAUGGAAAAAAGGGUUACAAUAUUAUGUUAAAUCUUAAUAAAAGUCACAUUUUUCUUUCUUUUGGCCUUAAGUGCAUCUAAAGUGCAAUUUUUUACUUCAAACUUAUUGGUCUUAAGUGCAUGAAACUAUUGGUUGCACUUCAGACUUAUUUGGCCUUAAGUGCAUCUGAAGUACAAUUUUUUCACUUCAGGCUAAUUUUUUUUAACUUCAGAUCCAAUAAGUUUAAAGUUGACCGUAAAAUGGAUAGGUUUGUAAAUUCUUUUUGCAAAGUGGGUAUAGGUUCAAUUGUGAUCCUAAUACCGGAUAUAGUAGCAAAAGCAUCCUUCAAUUCUUUGAAUUGCAUUUUCCUUUUCUGUUUCUUACACUUUGGGGACAAUCACCAAAGGGUGUCCCCUCUUUGUCUCCUUUCUAUUUAAUUAUUUUAUUUUCCGUUCUUUUUCUUUCGCAUUUUAUUAAUUUUUCUCCCAAUCUCCUUAUCUUCAAACUGUUUUAUUUCUGAAAUUUUUCACCUUCCUACUUUGUUUUUCUGAAAUAUUUUCUUAAAAGUCUACUAAGAAUUUAGUCACACUCACGGCCUUCCUUGAAAUGUUUUUCUGUUAAAGUUAUACUGACAAAUUAUAGCCAUAACAUCCAGAAAACGACAUGCCACAGACAAUUAUUGUCGCACCUCCUUUUUUCGGAAGGAAGGAUUAGAGUGUUUUUUCAAUUAAAGUGACAAUAAUCGAAAUGAGAUUAUUUAUUUAUUUUCAGAGUCGCCAUUUGGGAUAAUUAUAUGGUAUCCCAAGUCAUUAGUUUAUUUUAGAAUUCCAAAUCGAGGAAAUUGACUCUUAUUUAUGGUCUGCGAACACAGAAGAUCGGGUAAGAAAUUCUGUUAACCCAGGAGAAGAUGUGAGGCACUCCCGAGUUCCGUGUUUUUAUCACGGUCGCUCAUCUAUUAAUAAUUGGCCUAAUUAUCUGAUUUAUUACAUAUUUGGAACCUAUUGUGCAUUUUUUAAACUUUCUAGCCACUUUUAAUUAUUUAUGGAGUUUGUUUGAACAAGUCACGAUAUCGCGCACUCGUUUGUUUUUGUACAUAUUGCGAAUCGCGUCACGGGAACCGUACCCACAUUCUAUAAUAUGUUAAUUUUAUUAUUAUUCGAAGUUAUGGUCGAGUCACGUGAAACGCACACUCGAAUUGAGGAUUACGUAUCAUGACUAUGUCACGGGAAUCAUACUCAUAGUCACGAUGAUUAUUUUUUAUUAAUCGCACCUAAAGUAAACUACGAUAUUCAUAAGUGAUUAUUUUUCUAAAUUUGAGAUUGUUGUGAGGCCAUGCAAAUGUACCUACAAGACAAUUGCAGAAACUAUGAAACAGAACUUGAGGUUUGAAGAGAAGAAUAUCAAAUGAAAAAUUAUUGAGGACCCCCUUAAAAGAGCUUCUCAUGGUAUUCGAAGAAGCAAAGCAGUACAUAAAACCAUCCCUGGAAAUGAAGAAAUUUUGGGCAAAAGCCAUAGUUCUUUACAAGAAUACAGAUUAUGUUGAAUUUCACAUCCACAAUUUACUUUCUUGCGUGCCAAUUGUCAUUGAGGCUAUAGAAAUAGUAGGAGACAUUUCCACUGGAUAAUUAAAUGAGUUGUACCACAAUGUAUGAACUAAUAGCUCAUCUAAACUAUUAAAUAAUUACAUAGAACCAAAGGCUUAAAACCAUAAAUCAAUCUACAUCUCAACAUCUUUCAAUCACUAAUUUUCAUAUUUGCACAUUAGUAAUCAAAAGUUCACUGUUAAUGUGACAAAGACUAACCAAAUGGACACUAUAACAAUUAUAUCAUGAAAGAAGUAAAACAGAGAGAUGGUAAUCUCAAAGAAACAGAUAAACCCAUUAGGAUGGCGGACCGAAAGAAAACUAAUACAGAAAGGAAAAUUAAUCAAGAUCUUUCACCAAACUAGUAAAAUGAAUGUGAGAUAAAAUAAACACAAGGAAAAGAACCUGUAGUAUUGCAAAGCAAAGUACUUAUUUAAUAUGAUGACAACAAUCACCCUCCAACUUAUACAACAACUCGUUAAAUGUAGAACCGAACAUCGCCGACCUCAUCAACGGAACCUCGGACGACGACCACCUUAACGACGGCUUGGAUUUUUGAAAGACCUUGGGGUUGUUUCGUGGUGUUAAAGGGUGAUUUUGGAGCUGGUUUCAUGGCAUUUUUGAGGCAGUAUUUCAGCUGAUUUUGAGCUGGAAUUUCAGCUUAUUUGGGGCUGCUUAAAUGGUAUUUUUGGAGCUAAAAAUGGUAGUUUUUUUGGAGGAAGAAGAAUAAAAGCAGCGGCUCCUCUUUUGCCUUAGCUCUAGGGUGAUUUUUGUUCUCUCUUUUGUGGUGUGGAGCUUGAAAACUAAGAAGAGGGUUCGGCUCUUUUGUGAGGAAGAAGCAGAUAAACAGCCGCCGUCCCUUCACUUAGGGAUUUAGGGAUUUAGGAAUUUAGGAAUUUAGGUUAGCUCCCCUUUUUUUGUUUUUUCAUUAUGUUUUUAUAUGGUGGAUAGAUAGGAUAUGGGCAAUUGGAUGAGAGUAGAUCGAUGAUUAUGUUUAAGGGGUUUGAUGGGUGAGAAAAAGAUUUGGGCUAAAAGGGAUUGGGAAGAAUGAGCAUUUGUUGCCACUAAAAUUCGAAAAUGAGCUCCCAAUUGGCCCAAAUUUAAUUCUUUCUCAUUGAAUAAAAAUAAAAAUAAAAAUACUACCAAAAUAUACUAAUUAAUCUUAUUUAAUAAGAAUACAUUAUUAAAGUGAACUAUAUAUUAAAAUGAAAAUAUUUUUGGUAUUGUUUUUAAAUGUUAUAAAUAUUAUAAAAUACUAAUAAGCUAAAAAAAACGUUAUAAAACUAUUUUUGUGUUUUCAAAUUUAUGCUUAAAAAUUAAAACUAAAAGUUGACUGAAAUCCUAUUAAAAAUGAAAAUAAAUAAAUAUUUUUGAAAUACUACUUUUAAAAGUUGCGCGGGUAAAAAAUUACGUGCUUACAAUUAUAUAAUCUAAGUGCGUUAAAUUUAAACCUCAAUUAAACUCUAACCAGGACGGAAAAAUUCACUCCAAAUUAUAACCAUUUGGGAGAACAAAACUUUGUUAAAUAACAAACUGAAUUAAGGUGGGCAUAUCAGAAAAUUAGUGGAUAAAGCAACAUGAGAAGUUUGUACACAUAUGAAGGUUUUCUG